rnacentral:rRNA from 1 species
ACUCCUACGGGAGGCAGCAGUAGGGAAUCUUCCACAAUGGACGGAAGUCUGAUGGAGCAACGCCGCGUGAGCGAAGAAGGUCUUCGGAUCGUAAAGCUCUGUUGUAAGGGAAGAAUAAGUACAGUAGUAACUGGCUGUACCUGACGGUAC